rnacentral:lncRNA from 1 species
GGAUAGCUGACGUGGCGUAUUGUUCUAAUAUGAACCGUUGAUUAAAAUGAAUCUAACGGACAAAAUUUAACUUUUUAAAUAUUUUUUUUCACUUAUUCUCCUCUUAGUCAUCUCUUUCUUCGUCAAUAGAAGCCCUUCCCAGAACCAAACGCGACCAAAAACUUCAACAAACACGAGCCACUCCAUCGUGAGAAUCCCUUGCUGCAGAAUUCACCAGAAAAGUCUCAUAUCUUGAUGGGGUUCGACCAACUCACACCACAGCCACCUUAUUGAACAAAACACAAGAGACGGAUCCGCCGUGACCACCGUAGACCGCAGCAAACCUAGCCUCAUUGGAAACAUAAACCCUUCGAGCCACGUGCGAGACUUUUCACCUUCUUGUUUCCAUAAAUCUGAUGGUUUGUUUACUAAUUCUUCUUUACUUAACAAACUUGUGUCCAUCGAAAUGUCUAGAUUUAUGUCUAGGUCUUCUAUUUUCCUUUGUUUCUUACAAAUUUUUUCAAAUGGGUUCUGCUUUUGUGUGUCUGAUGAAACCAAAAUCCGUUGCUUUGUCUUCUCUGAAAUUUGGACUUGGCCACUUAUGCUUCAGCUUUCCGAUUAUUGCUUGCUCAUGGCCAUGAUGUGUCUUACGGCGGAGUGAUCUCUUUCUUGUUGAGAUAAGUUUGAAGAAAGCUUGAGAAAUAAGCUAAAGAUAAAUAUGUAAUAUUCUAGGAGUUAUCUAGAAUAAAGGAAAUUAUCCAAUUCCUAAGUGUGUUAGGAAAAGGAAAAGGGUUUUGCUAUAUAUAUGAGAUGCCUAGGUUGUGGUAUUCCAUAAGAGAGAUUAAGAGAUUUGUAAGACCUUUAGUUUUGAGUAAGUUUCUAAAGGAAUAAGAGAGAAGUCUUUUUAAUCUUGUGUUCUUAACCUAGUUCUUAAUUCAAUAAUUGGUAUCAGAGCAUAAACCUAUUGAAUUAAGCUUUCUAGUGUUGAUAACAUCGUCAAAGUUUUGAAGUUGAAACCCUACGCAUACACCAAGAGAGGUGACAUACGUAGUGAAACAGAAUCAUGGGAGAGGUGGUUCCCGUGAAGCCGAAGGAUGGUGGUUCUUCCUCAUCAAUUAAAUGCCCCAUGCUCAAUGACACGAACUAUACAGUUUGGGUCAUGCGUAUGCGAGCAACACUCAAGGUGCAUAAAGUGUGGGAGACCAUUGAUCCGGGAUCUACUGAUGAAGAGAAACAUGACAUAGCUAGGGCUUUGUUAUUCCAAUCCAUACCAGAAGUACUUAUCCUGCAAGUUGGCGACUUAGGAGAUGCAAAGCAAGUUUGGGAUUCUAUCAAAUCAAGACAUGUAGGGGUUGGGAGAGUCAAGGAAGCAAGGUUACAAACCUUGAUGGCUGAAUUCGAAAAGAUAAAGAUGAAAGACACUGACACAAUUGAUGCUUUCUCUGGUAAACUCUCGGAGAUAGUCACAAAAUCUGCAGCGUUGGGAGUAAACAUCGAAACUCCAAAACUCGUGAAGAAGUUUCUUAACAGUUUACCAAGAAAAAGAUUUAUUCACAUCAUCGCAGCUUUGGAGCAAGUCCUGGAUCUUAAUAAAACUAGCUUUGAGGAUAUUGUAGGAAGGAUGAAAACGUAUGAAGAUAGAACUUGUGAUGAGGAAGAAAAUUAACAAGAAGACCAAGGGAAGCUUAUGUUUGUUAACUCGGACUCACAAUCGUUUCAAGGAAAUUACGGGAGAGGAAGAGGACAAGGUGGAAGGUUCUUUCAAAGAGGAAGCAGAGGACGUGGUAGGUAUGGUCCGUACCAAGAGUAUGGAAACUUUCAGAAUGGUCAAGGCAGAGACAAAUCUAAAUUGGUGUGCUAUCGUUGCGAUAAAAACGGACACUAUGCCUCCAACUGUCCCGAUAGAUUGCUAAAACUCCAAGAAACGUGUGAGAAUGAAGGAGACGAGACACAAAAGGCAGAGAACUUGAUGGUACAUGAAGUAGUGUAUCUCAAUGAGAGAAAUCUAAAGCCGAGUGACUUUGAAACACAGUUAGAUGAGAAAAACGUGUGGUACUUAGACAAUGGAGCGAGUAAUCAUAUGUCAGGAAACCGAGAGUAUUUCUCAAGCGUUGAUGAGACAGUCACGGGAAAAGUACGUUUUGGAGAUGAUUCCCGAAUAGACAUAAAGGGCAAAGGAUAAAUUUUAUUUGUGAGCAAAGAUGGAGAGAAGAAAGUCUUGGCUGAUGUCUACUUCAUACCAGAUUUGAAAAGCAAUAUCAUAAGCCUUGGACAAGCAACAGAAGCGGGCUGCGAAGUAAACAUGAAAGAAGAUCACCUAAUACUAUAUGAUCAAGAAGGAAAACUGUUGGUAAGAGCAAAAAGAUCAAGAAAUCGGUUGUACAAGGUACUUAUGGAGGUUGAGAUCACCAAGUGUUUACAAGUAAUGGCCUUAAACGAGUCAGAAAAGUGGCAUUCAAGACUAGGACAUGUCGGGUUAGAAACAAUGAAGAAAAUGAUGAAGAAGGAACUAGUUGUUGGAAUGCCAAUGAUUCAAAUUGAGAAAAACACUUGUUCCUCGUGUUUACUUGGUAAACAAGCUAGAAGACCGUUUCCUCAAGCUACACUGUAUCGCGCCACACAAAUACUUGAGCUCAUACACGGCGAUCUUUGUGGACCUAUCACACCUACCACAACCGCGAACAAGAAGUAUAUCUUUGUCCUAAUUGACGAUCAUUCACGCUACAUGUGGACAAUGUUGCUAAAGGAGAAAGGAGAAGCUUUUGAGAAAUUCAAGAAGUUCAAAGCAUUGAUCGAACAAGAAACGGGAGUUUCCAUUAAAACUUUUCGUACGGACAGAGGAGGUGAAUUCACGUCGCAAGAGUUUCAAGCCUUUUGUGAAGAUACCGGAAUCAAUAGGCAUCUAACUGCACCCUAUUCACCUCAACAAAACGGAGUUGUCGAGAGAAGGAAUAGGACAUUACUAGAGAUGACGAGAAGUAUCCUAAAGCACAUGAGUUUGCCAAACUAUUUAUGGGGAGAAGCAGUGAGACAUGCCACAUAUCUCAUAAAUAGAAUUGGCACAAGAACUCUAGUGGAUCAAACUCCAUACGAAGUACUAAAGGGGAAGAAACCGAAUAUAGAACAUUUAAGGGUCUUCGGGUGUUUAAGUUUUGCAAAAAGAGAAGCUCCACAUCUGAAAAAGCUAGAGGACAGAUCAAGAAUGUUGGUUCAUUUGGGAGUAGAACCGGGAACUAAAGCCUAUCGUCUCUUAGAUCCUACAAGCCAAAAGAUAAUCGUGAGUAGGGAUGUUGUUUUCGAUGAGACUAGGAGCUGGAAGUGGAGUAAUCAUGAAAAGGAAGCUGGCGAAGAAUCUGGAAUGUUUAAGCUAAGCUUUGGAGAUUUUGGGAACAAAGGUAUUGGGAUUAAUACGGAAACAGAGGAAACAUGGGAAACAGAGGAACAUGAAGAAGAAGAAGAGCAGGAAGGUCUCACUAAUGAACCCGAUAGUGAAGUUGAAAUUGAGUUUGUGCAACCUCAACCUGUUUUGCGAGAGCCAUCAGCAAGAACAAAGAAGAUACCAGGUUAUCUCGCAGAUUACGUGUUGUUGGCCGAAAUUGAGGGAGAAAGACUGCUCCUUCAAGUCAAUGAGGAACCAUGGGAUUUUAGUGAAGCUUCAGAGCUAAAAGAAUGGAGAGACGCUUGUGAUGAAGAGAUUGCAUCAAUCACAAAGAACAAAACAUGGAGUUUGGAAAAACUUCCUCAAGGAAUCAAACCAAUCGGGUUAAAGUGGGUUUUCAAGAUUAAACGUAAUUCUGAUGGAAGUAUAAACAAGUACAAGGCAAGAUUGGUUGCUAAAGGCUACGUACAAAAGCAUGGUAUAGACUUUGAUGAAGUCUUUGCUCCGGUAGCACGUAUUGAAACCGUUAGAUUCAUUCUUGCUCUUACGGCUUCCAAUGGAUGGGAAGUGCACCAUCUUGACGUGAAAACAGCCUUUCUUCAUGGAGAAUUAAAAGAGGAAGUAUACGUGACUCAACCGGAGGGAUUUGUUGUCAAGGGAAGUGAGGAGAAGGUGUAUAAAUUACACAAGGCACUUUAUGGUUUAAAGCAAGCUCCAAGGGCAUGGAAUAACAAGUUAAAUCAAAUUCUCAAGGAAUUAAAGUUAAUAAAAUGUUCUAAAGAAGCUUCUCUAUAUCGUAAGAAUGAGAAUGAUCAUCUUCUCUUGGUAGCCGUUUACGUGGAUGAUUUGUUAGUUACGGGUUCAAGUCUAGAAGCAAUUUUGGAGUUCAAGAAAAGAAUGUCAACAAAGUUUGAGAUGAAUGAUCUCGGAAGAUUAACUUAUUAUCUUGGAAUUGAGGUAAUGCAGCUUGAGAAUGGGAUAGUACUUAAACAAGAAAGGUAUGCAUCCAAGAUCUUAGAAGAAACCGGAAUGUUUGAAUGCAAUGCUGUCCGAAUACCAAUGGAUGCGGGCUUAAAGUUGUCUAAGGCACCAAAAGAAGAAAACAUUGACGAGAAAGAGUUUAGAAGAAUCAUAGGGUGUCUCCGAUAUUUACUUCACACAAGACCCGAUCUCUCGUAUUGUGUUGGCGUGUUGAGUAGGUACAUGCAACAACCUAAAGAGUCUCACGAAGUGGCACUAAAACAGAUUUUAAGGUACUUAAGAGGAACUCUUGCUCUUGGUUUGUUUUUUACUCGUGGAAACAAGACAAAGUUGGUGGGCUAUAGUGAUAGCAGCCACAAUGUUGAUGAAGAUGAUGGGAGAAGUACGACCGGACAUGUUUUCUAUCUUGAGAACUGUCCUAUUACUUGGUGUACUCAAAAGCAAGAUACGGUGGCGUUAUCAUCAUGCGAGGUGGAAUUUAUGGCUGCAACGGAAGCAUCUAAACAAGCUUUGUGGCUUCAAGAAUUACUCGGAGAAGUCGUUGGAGGUUCAUGUGAGAAGGUGACACUCUUAAUUGACAACAAGUCGGCGAUUGCACUUGCAAAGAACCCGGUGUUCCAUGGAAGAAGCAAACACAUAAACAAGAGAUACCAUUUCAUAAGGGAGUGUGUCGAGAAUGAACAAAUUGAAGUUGAGCAUGUUGCCGGAGAGGAGCAACGAGCUGAUAUCCUAACUAAGGCGCUUGGUAGGAUUAGAUUCAAGGAGAUGAGAGAGCUCAUUGGUGUUCAAGAUGUUUCGGAAGAAGGGUUCAAACCUAGGAGGGAAAAUGUUGAGAUAAGUUUGAAGAAAGCUUGAGAAAUAAGCUAAAGAUAAAUAUGUAAUAUUCUAGGAGUUAUCUAGAAUAAAGGAAAUUAUCCAAUUCCUAAGUGUGUUAGGAAAAGGAAAAGGGUUAUGCUAUAUAUAUGAGAUGCCUAGGUUGUGGUAUUCCAUAAGAGAGAUUAAGAGAUUUGUAAGACCUUUAGUUUUGAGUAAGUUUCUAAAGGAAUAAGAGAGAAGUCUUUUUAAUCUUGUGUUCUUAACCUAGUUCUUAAUUCAAUAUUCUUCCAUGUGAAUCUAGCUUUAUUUUUUGUGAACUGUAUGUAUGUGUUAAGUUAAUACGUUGAGUUUGUUGCAGAUCCGCUAAAACCAUUUGCAAAAGAUUUGAUUUGUGUUAUUUCUGUAGAUAGCUGAUCGAGUAAGAUUCAAUCGGUUGUCAAUGUGUUUGAUUUGUAUUUAGCUAAGAAUCUAAUUACUCUUGGUGGUUGAUUAUGUAGCAAAAACUAGUUUUAUCUUGAGACAUCUUACUGCGGAGAUGGGAAGAUUGAGAAGAAGCGUGAACAUCAAAGAGUGUGCAAGGCCUCGAGAAGAUUAGAUAUAAGAGUUUCAUUAAUUUAUCUUUACGAUGUACUUUUACUUUUUAAUUUUGUAAAUUUACUUUGUAAUCUAUUUUUCUGUAUUAUGAUUUCAUAUAAUAUAAUAAAAUAUGAUUUUAAUAUGUUAAUCUAUCCAAAAACAUAAUAAAUUGUAAUUUAU